rnacentral:rRNA from 2 species
UAUACCCGACGAUACCCGAAUGGGGAAACCCAGUGUGUUUCGACACACUAUCAUGACAUGAAUACAUAGUGUCAUGAGGCGAACCGGGGGAACUGAAACAUCUCAGUACCCCGAGGAAAAGAAAUCAACCGAGAUUCCCCCAGUAGCGGCGAGCGAACGGGGAGGAGCCCAGAACCUGAAUCAGUUUGUGUGUUAGUGGAAGCGUCUGGAAAGUCGCACAGUAAAGGGUGAUAGUCCCGUACACAAAAAUGCACAAGCUGUGAGUUCGAUGAGUAGGGCGGGACACGUGACAUCCUGUCUGAAUAUGGGGGGACCAUCCUCCAAGGCUAAAUACUCCUGACUGACCGAUAGUGAACCAGUACCGUGAGGGAAAGGCGAAAAGAACCCCGGCGAGGGGAGUGAAAUAGAACCUGAAACCGUGUACGUACAAGCAGUGGGAGCCUACUUGUUAGGUGACUGCGUACCUUUUGUAUAAUGGGUCAGCGACUUAUAUUCUGUAGCAAGGUUAACCGUAUAGGGGAGCCGCAGGGAAACCGAGUCUUAACUGGGCGUUAAGUUGCAGGGUAUAGACCCGAAACCCGGUGAUCUAGCCAUGGGCAGGUUGAAGGUUGGGUAACACUAACUGGAGGACCGAACCGACUAAUGUUGAAAAAUUAGCGGAUGACUUGUGGCUGGGGGUGAAAGGCCAAUCAAACCGGGAGAUAGCUGGUUCUCCCCGAAAGCUAUUUAGGUAGCGCCUCGUGAA